rnacentral:rRNA from 1 species
AUGACGGUCAUGAUGUGCCACAUGAUGCACCGGGAGGCGGGCAUGUUCUUCUGCCGCCCUGGAGACGCGGCCUGGACCAAGGUGGGGGAGGCCAACAACAUAGGCCACGGCUACUUCGACUUGGCCUACCACGACGGCAAGAUGUUCGGCAUGCAGCACAACAACUACCAGAUGUCGGUGUUCGACGCUGCCACACUCGGCGCCCUGCAGCUGGUCGGCCGCCCGCCGGCCACCACCAUGUUUGCCAACAAGAUGUACGGCAUCGGCGUUGAGAUGGAAAAGUUCGAUUACGCCCACCUCGUCGCGCUGCCAAGCAGGCUGGUUCUGGUCAGGAGCACCGUCAAGUCGGCCCGGCCGGUGGCCUUCACCAUCUUCGAGUUGGUCUCUGGCCCUGAUGGGCAGCUCGCCUGGCGCAAGGUGACCGAUGCUGGUAACUACGAAUUGUUCCUGGAUGGAUAUCACGCCACGUUCAGGGAAAACGACGCCGCCAACGGGAGCGGGACUCGGAUCUACUAUGUUCAUGACACGCCCUGGAAUUCUUCCACGGCGGCCUGCUGCUACGAUAACAAGUCGGAAUGCGGCACGGCGGCCGGCUGCUACAAAAACAAGCCGGAAUGCGGCACGGCGGUCUACUGCUACAGCGUGCACGACAACAAGUUGGAAUGCGUCUACAAGUCAUCACCCAAGGACGAUGGUCCUCCCGGCUGCUCAACUAAGCCUAGUUGGUUUAUUCCCUAG